rnacentral:rRNA from 1 species
CGCGUAGGUGGAUUAGCAAGUCAGAGGUGAAAACCACAGGCUUAACUUGUGGCCUGCCUUUGAAACUGCUUUUCUUGAGUGCGGAAGAGGAAAGUGGAAUUCCUGGUGUAGCGGUGAAAUGCGUAGAUAUCAGGAAGAACACCGGUAGCGAAGGCGGCUUUCUGGUCCGCAACUGACACUGAGGCGCGAAAGCGUGGGGAGCAAACA